GCUGGAAUAGGCGCAGUCGGUAGCGCAACUGAUUCGUAAUCAGUAGGUCGAGGGUUCGAGUCCCUUUUCCAGCU
rnacentral:tRNA from 1 species